AUUGAACGCUGGCGGCAGGCUUAACACAUGCAAGUCGAGCGGAGUGAUGGUGCUUGCACUAUCACUUAGCGGCGGACGGGUGAGUAAUGCUUAGGAAUCUGCCAUUUAGUGGGGGACAACAUUCCGAAAGGAAUGCUAAUACCGCAUACGUCCUACGGGAGAAAGCAGGGGAUCUUCUGCCCUUGCGCUAAAUGAUGAGCCUAAGUCGGAUUAGCUAGUUGGUGGGGUAAAGGCCUACCAAGGCGACGAUCUGUAGCGGGUCUGAGAGGAUGAUCCGCCACACUGGGACUGAGACACGGCCCAGACUCCUACGGGAGGCAGCAGUGGGGAAUAUUGGACAAUGGGCGGAAGCCUGAUCCAGCCAUGCCACGUGUGUGAAGAAGGCCUUUUGGUUGUAAAGCACUUUAAGCGAGGAGGAGGCUACUAGUACUAAUACUACUGGAUUGUGGACGUUACUCGCAGAAUAAGCACCGGCUAACUCUGUGCCAGCAGCCGCAGUAAAAC
rnacentral:rRNA from 1 species